CUUGAGUGUUAGCAAUGUGGACUCCCCACUUUGGGGUUCUUAGUCAUAUUAUUUUAGGGAUUGUUCAGCUAUGAGCUCUCCUUUCAAUUCCAUGGUUUGAACUCUCCUUUCAAUUCCAUGGUUUGAAUCUCAUGCUUUUGAAGUGCUGGAGGAGAUAUUUGGGUAGGGGUGAAAUCGGUUGGGUUUGGUCGGGGAUUUUGGGCAUGGCAGACCGAAUUGAUCGGUUCGAUCUAGAAAUGAUGCAAACCGAUUCUGAUGAAAGUAUUCGGUGGACUGCAAUCGGUUCGGGGUGGUUCAGUUUGGUCGGGGUUUUUUUAGGUUGAGCUUCAAGACAUCUAAAACAUCAAAACCCCUAUAAAAGUAAGACUUACUAAAAUACCAAAACCCCUAUCGGUACCCGAGACCCAACCGAAGAUUAUUAAUUUUACUCUUCAAAAACCGAAACUGACUGGGGCCAAAACUAGAUUGACCGAACCCUGAAUUUUCCAGUCGGUUUGGUUGUCUCGGUUAUAUUUUCACCCCUAAAUUUGGGUGUGUGUAAUGUUUCAGUUUGGAAGUGGUUCCUUGACAAAAAUAUGAUGCAAAACAUGUCCAUUUCUUCCGUAAUAGUCUCAAACUCUUGCUUGCUCAUGAUAAAAGAGAGACUCCUACCUUGGCAGUUGACCCAUUUUAGGAAGCAAAGAUUAGGACUACAAGAAGCUUGGCCUUAUUGUUGCGUAAGCACCUUCAGAGCAAUCUGUUGGAGAAGUAGCUUGUGGAGGCAUGAAACAAUAGAUUUACAAGAUGACUUUGAGAAUAAUCUAAGCGAUUCUGCGGAUGAGAAAAGAUGGCAGCAGGACUUUUUGGUUUUUUUUUGACAUUCAUGAGACUUGUUACUUCAUUGAAGACUAGUUAUGCGAUAAAUUUUCUGUUGGGUGAUGUUCUUGGUGUUUGAGACUUAAAGCAUUCUGCCAGUUGCCUAUUGACUCUAAUUCAGUAUAUUAUUUUCACAAAUACCUACUUUUGAAUAUAAUAUUUAUGAGGACACUGGAACAUGUGCCAUUGAUACUGGAAGCUCAAAGAUACACGCCAGCUGGAGGAGAGGAAUCCUUCAAAAGAAACUGAGAAGUUAAUAGGA